AACAAUUCAAAUUCAAGCACCUUGAAUUUCACAAGUACUCUAUCUAUUGACAUUCCUACUCAUAUGCCACCUUACAGCUGAAAUUUGGUAAGAAUUCCAACACAAGAAUAGAGUAUUGACGCAAAACUCAAGCUGUCAUUCAAUCCACGCAUUCUCAAACCAAAAUAAGUUCUUCAAAAACUACAGCCAAAACAGGAUUAAAAUGUAAGUAUUGUAGACAAAUUGUCUUUUUCAGCCCUUUUACAUAAUAGCACCUCUACUCUCUAUGUCUAAAAAUCAUUAAGGCAAAUUGACAUGCACUACGCUGGGUGUUCCAAAAUUUCAUGCAGAUACAGGGGUCCUAUCCGUAGAAACCCUUGUCGUUGGCAACUGCUGCUUAAAAGCUAACAUCUUAUUCAAUGCACCAAUGUAGGCCUUCACACUGGA
rnacentral:misc_RNA from 1 species